CCCUCGGGAAGUGAAGAAAUCCUUUAAGAUAAAAGUCUUAUUUGCCAACGAUCUAGCGUUACCCAGGCCGAUCGUGAUAGGACCCGGCAAGCUAGCCACCCUGGAGGUAUGCUGCAGUGGUCGCAAGUUCGAGCAGUUAAUCCCACGCCGGCAAAGACGUAGAUAACAGCUAUGAGGCCACCCAGUCCUCCAGUCUGAGCCAACCAUCGACACCAACGAAGAGCAAACAGGAUCCAGAGAACACCAUGAAGCGCGGAGGCUGGUGCCCGGAGCAUGCCGAACCAGAGAUGCCAAGGAAGGGCCCGCCAAGGAGGCCUUUAGCCUUACCAGCUGCCCACUCCGCCUGCCACGACGUCUCUGCCUCCUCCUCCUGAAUGGGAGAGCCGGACCGCGGCGAAGACAUUUUUAUUGUACAGAUUAUAUUGGAAGCCAUAAGAUGUGGGGGUUCAGUGUCUUGCCCAAGGACACCUCAACAUGUGGACUGAAGAAGCUGGGCAUCAGACCUCCAAUCAUCCAUGUGAGAACCUGUUCUACCUCCUGAUCCAGAGCCACAAAAUGAGAAGCAGCUGCAAAUUUGCCUCCGUUGCCAACUAGCCUUCUCCUCGCCCGUUCCUGCCUUCAGCCCUCCUGCUUGGACACAUACUCCCACACGGAACUGUUUACCUCUGGACCCCCUGCCAUCGGUCUAUCAUUCACCAGCCAGGUCGAUGCUCUCUCUCCCCUGAUCCUCUCUGCUCAUCGUCGCCUUCUGUCUGGUUCCCUUCUGUUUAGCCUCAACCACCUCUACUCGACCAGCCAUUCAAAACUGAGAGGUGACCAAAGGCAUUACAGAAGAAGGCUGAGUUGAAAAUGGAGGGAAAAAAUGAGAAAAACAUGGAAAAGAGUGAGAAAAAGGAGAAACAAAAACAGGAAAAGGAG